UGGGGAAUAUUGCACAAUGGGCGCAAGCCUGAUGCAGCCAUGCCGCGUGUAUGAAGAAUGCCUUCGGGUUGUAAAGUACUUUCAGUCGGGAGGAAGGUGGUAAGGUUAAUAACCUUAUCAAUUGACGUUACCGACAGAAGAAGCACCGGCUAACUCCGUGCCAGCAGCCGCGGUAAUACGGAGGGUGCAAGCGUUAAUCGGAAUUACUGGGCGUAAAGCGCACGCAGGCGGUUGAUUGAGUCAGAUGUGAAAUCCCCGGGCUUAACCCGGGAAUUGCAUCUGAUACUGGUCAGCUAGAGUCUUGUAGAGGGGGGUAGAAGUCCAUGUGUAGCGGUGAAAUGCGUAGAGAUGUGGAGGAAUACCGGUGGCGAAGGCGGCCCCCUGGACAAAGACUGACGCUCAGGUGCGAAAGCGUGGGGAGCAAACAGG
rnacentral:rRNA from 1 species